UCCCUGGUGGCUCAGUGAUAAAGAAUCUGCCUGCCAGUGCAGGAGCCGCGGGUUUGAUCCCUGCUCAGGGAA
rnacentral:tRNA from 1 species